rnacentral:ncRNA from 1 species
CACAAUUUAAUAGCACUUACCUGUAUAAUGUCAUAAUAUGGUUGAUAAGUUUCUACCCGACACCUUAAAUGUUGGACUAUAGGCGAAUAGUGUUUUUGA